UGUGGCGUAGACCUGCAGCUGCAGCUCCAAUUCGACUCCUGGCCUGGGAAAUUACAUAUGCUGCAGGUGUGGCCUUAAAAAGAAAAAGAGAGAGAGAGAAGAUUAAUAGGGAGAAUCAAAACAGUGCACUUGAUAAAAUACCGGUUUUUGUCUCCAAUUAUCUAGCUUCUCCAAUUUCUCUCAGUGGUCUCACUUCCCAGUCCAGAAUGUUGGCAAUAAUCCUCUCCAUCUAGGCCCCAAGGAGAGAGCUGCUUUCACUCUAGAAGGUAGUGUCCACCCUGAACUCACUGUGAGACUUCUGACAAGACUUGUAAGUGGUAAAUAGUAAAUCAUUCCCUCAGGUCCUUUUCAGUUGUUCCUCUUAUUGUUGCCACAAGAAUGUACAUAAAUGAUGAUCUUGAAGUUUGUUUUCUUACUUCAUGCAAAUUAAUGGCUUAGGCCCAUGGUUCUCAGAUUCAUUCAGGAGAUAGAGGGCCCAGAUUCCAUGGUACUUCUCAGAACACCAUGAAGAAAGGGGAGUUUAUUAUGUGAAUGAAGAACAAACUUUAAAGUUUAUAACAUAAAAUCACGCUUGAACAAACCUGUUUGAAUUAAAAAGUCACCAAAGCAACAUGGCUAGCUUCUUCCUAGGUUUCCUUCUUUAAUGUUUAUUGCUUUUUUUCCCCUCAUUUUUCUACCAUCUCACUAAAGUGCAGCUUGUACUUGAGAGUACUUGAUAACAGAAGUGCAGAACAGAAGCCAAAAGUGGGUUGUAAAUAUAUGAGAGACAAACUUGCUAUUGAGAACCCAUCAUCCUUUAAAUUCAUUUUUUUUCCUUGAAAAUUGAGAAAGACAAUCAGUAUUUUAUUUUAAGGCUACAUCUUUUGUCCAACUUAAAACCUAUCCAAAUUGCAUGGGAAAAUGUUUUGCUAAUCUCAUGCUACGUUCUGUAGGGAGAUACAGAGAAAGUUUUUAUCCAAAAGAUGGGAAAAGGAAAGUCUCUUCUUAUUCUGCUAUUAUUUUUUCCCCUUUUCUAGACUACUACUUUUCUACAAUUUUGGCCGGCUUUUCUUUAUUUUUUUUUUCUAAUUCUUUUUAUUAAGUGGUUACUUCUCAGUCUGCAACUUACAUAUAUACUCUGCUUCGUAUCUUUGGUAAUAGUCUUCUUGAAACUCUCUGCUGUGUUCUGAAUGUUUGUGUCCCCACAAAAUUCAUUUGUUGAAGUCCUACCCCCAAGGUGAUAGAGUGAGGAUGUGGGGCCUUUGGGAGGUGACUAGGUCUUGAGGUACCCUUAACUUCCCACCCCGCUUCUGCCAGAUAAGGACACAGUGAAAAGGCAGCCAUCUAAGAACCAGGAGGUGGAUCCUCAACAGAUACUGAAUCUGCCAGUGCCUUGAUCUUGGGCUUCUAGCCUCUAGAACAGCGGGAAAUAAAUUUCUGUUAUUUGUUUAUAAUCACUCAGUGACUUAUGGUAUGGUAUUUUUGUUAUAGCACUCUGAAUGGACAAAGACGCUCUCUCUUGACUUCUGGAACAUCCACUUUACAGAUAUCCAUCCUACAUCUUUGAUUAUGUCUUGGUGGUUCCUUGCCCUUUAUCUGUGCUUUAGAGGUCAGCUGCUCCAAAGCUGGCCACACUCCAUAUAUUCUUCUGGGUCAGUCUCACCCAUUUUUAUAAUUUUCUCUAACAUUCCUAUGGUGAUGACUUCUCAUCCUCCAUCCAAGUUUGGACCAUUCUUUUAACUUUCAGCUCUAUAAAUUCAUGAAUCGUAGACCCUUGAAAGCAAAAGGAAUCUUACAUUCAACCACUGCCCCAAUAAAAUGUUUGACUGCCCUCUAAAAUAUACCAGUAACUGGUUACUUAGUUCUACUGGAAGAGGGGGUUGUUUGGCACUGGUGUUUAUAGAGUGUGCAAAAUGGCUUACCUAAGUUUCUUCUUUUAUAAUGAGAAAGAAAGAAAGAAAUACUGAACCAAGGAAAGUCUGGGGAAAAUCCUAGGAUACGUGGACAGAGGUGGAAAGAAAUGACCACCUUGCAGUGAAGAAGUUGUAGAAGCAGGUUAGAAAAGGGACCUGAACUAUUCACCUUCUGUAGCACCCAUUCAAAACAGAGGGUCAAUAGCUACAGCUGUUUCAGUUUUGCCAAUUUUGUCCUCCAGAUGAGGCACGUGCCUUCCAUUUACUUAAAUGGGAGCCAUAUGUGUGCUUUUGAUGGUGGUACUUAUUGCUAAGGAAGCGAAGCGCCGAGUUCCUGUGACCCACCCACUUCUGUAGCUUUGCAAGCCACAUGCAAAUGAAAAACAAACAUGCUGCUGGCACAUUAGGAAACCAAGGAACAUUGACAAAACCAUCCAGGAAGGAAAAGAGAACUGAAGUGUGGAGACUGUGCUGGUGAACGCUGGAGCAUCACAAAAGUUCUUUCUUGGAAACCUUUGGUUUAAUGUCAUUUCAGGCCAUGGGGCCACACGUAGAGCUGAGCUUUAUUCCAAGUCUUCAAAUGAAGUAUUUUAUCGUUGACUGAUGGGCAGAGGCUACCCUCCAUUUUCUCAGUCUCCCUCUCAGCACCUUGACUCCAGAUUCUGAAUGGGAAGAGCAAGUCCUGAUGAAGUAGAGUCCAUAAGAAAAAAAAAAUAGCAAUCUAUGCUUGUGACUGAUGGGAUCAGUUAGGAUAGAAUGAGGGCUCCCUUUUCCAGAGGUGUCCAUGUCCAGUGAUGGCUACUAUGGAGCUGGUCAACCUCUGAGCCCUGAGAUUCUGUGAACCCCUCAUUAAAGCCUUUAACUGAAGUCUUGUGUUUCUUAUUUUUGUUUUUGGGUAAAAUCAGCUAGAGUCAAUGUCUGUUGCUUGUCUCUAAGAAUCUAAGUCAUUUAAUGUUCUUAAUCUUAUUUUA